GCCUGUUUGAUCCCCUUGGAUGCCUCUGCCUCCCUUUGGGAUCUGUCACUGUUCCUACCAGCAAAUCUUUCAGUUAAUUAAAAAUAUAAGUGUUUUUGAUAUUACUGACCAUGAGGUAUUUUAACAACUGCUUCCAAAAGAAAAGUAAUCUGCUUGUGUGUGCAAGGGGUUAUUCCAAAGGUUAAUAGUGGUUGUUUCUGGUCUUAAGCAAACCUAUGAAAAUCUUUUUUGGCCUGAUGAAUGGAAAAUAAGUUCUUUGGUCUUUGGGAGCUGCUAAGUCACCCUGAAUUGUGCUGGGCUGCUGAGACAUGGAAGGCUGCCUUUUUGAAGGUUUCUGUAAUUGAGGCUUUGCUCAGUACAAAGUGCUCUUUGCCUCCAGGGGUCUUCUGUCCAACCUUUCUUUUGCCAGGAUGCCUGUCCAGGCUCUCUCUCUCCAAGCUUUUGUAACUGGGUUUGUGGCUGGGGUUUGUUUCAGUAGCUUUGUUCCAGCUCAGCAGUCAGUACUUAGGCUGGUACUUUACCUAAGUGUGUUUGCAGGUUUUUUAAGCCUUGAGCUUGACUCAUGUUGCUUGUGAAUCAGGAUAAAAGGUAUAAAUGUUGGGAAGUUUUAUCUCUGCAGCAGUAGCAAAUUCAAAUAAUGUCAGACCUGGUGGGAGCUGCAUUCCAACAUGGCUCAGGGCUUAAAGUUUCUCCUGUUUGUUUGCCAGGGCCUGCCUGGGGCUGCACCACACAUGGCAGCUGGGAGGCUCCUGGCACAAACAUGCUUGUUCCUUUCCUGUAAGGAGCAGAUGGCACAAAGACACUUCUUCAGGGCAAACCCUGAACUGUCACACUAAUGAAAAUAUAUAAUGAGAAUCCAUUCUAAAUGUUUUAGAUGUAUUUGAACACGAUAGUGAACAGUAGUGUAUAAUCAAUGUUUAGUCCCUGUGGAGCAAGACAACAUAAACAUUAAGCCACAACAGGUAUAGGAAUGGCCAGGUAAUUACGGAGGCACAUGAAUGGGUGAAUGUGGAAAAGUCCCUGUGGCAUGCGCACCCUGGUAUUUGGUGUUUCAAGUACAUGGAAGGGUGAGAUUGAAAGGUUUAAGGUCACACUAGGGUUGGUUUCUGACUACAAUAUCCACAGGUCAAUGCCAUGUGUGGUUGCCUUGGCUGCUGACAAAGGCAAUCCUCUGCAUCUGCUUUUAUGGGUUCUUCUUAAGCCACACACUGUUCCUGUAUUUUUCAGGAAAAAAACAAAUGUCUUUGUGGAGUAAUUCCUCACAUGAUCACCCUUGCUGCCCUCUGGACUCACCAAGGGCACUGCAUGGUGUGGCUGAGGCCAACUGUGUGAAGCUGAACUUCCAGAUAAGUGAAGUGCAGGCUCCUAUUAAAGGGUAGCAUCUUUUCCUUCCCCUCUGCUUUUGCACCACUUCCCUGGUGCGUGGUCUUGGUGCUCUGUCACCAAAGCAGUAGCAGAACCAGACUUGCAUAAGUACAUGAAGUUCCUCAGAGCUUCUUGAUCCUGCUUGUAUGUUUGCUGUGCUGUCCUGCUGCAGUCGGAGCCUUUGGGCAUCCUUUACUGGCAGUGCUGGGACAGAGGUGGAUUCCAAGGCUUGCUCCAAAGGCAGCAGGGAAUGAUGGUGCCUGUAGCUGAGGAAAGAGCUGUGGAGCAGCACACCUGACAAAGACAGCACAUCCCUCUUUAAUGUUACAAAAUCCAGUAUUUUCACCAGAAGGCAAUGAAGGAAACAGCUUUAUCCUUGGAUUUUGAGACCACUUGGAUCAUUUUUGUUGUUUCAAGACAAGGGCCAUAAAGACACAUGGCUUUGUGUUCAUUGCUGGGUACAGCAUGACUUGGCUGAAAUCUCCUGGAGAAUGACCUCACAGUCUAGGAUGGAGACAAAAACUGGUGAAGAUGAUGCAGAACAUCACAGAAUGUCCUGUGGCAUUUGUUGUAAAGCUUUAGUGUGACUUCUACCCAAGUUUUCAAACCAGGCUCAGAGUUAGCAGUGCAUGCUGCUCUUGGAAAGCUGUGAGCUAAAAACAAUUCAAGGAUUAAAGCUUGUGGAAGAGUACUUCAGUUUAUACAGUAGCACCAAUGCAAAUGUGUAACGGGACAAUGGCCACAGGGAUUAAUAAAUGUUCCUGUUUUGUCCAGAAA